rnacentral:rRNA from 1 species
UGAGGAAUAUUGGUCAAUGGGCGCAAGCCUGAACCAGCCAUCCCGCGUGCAGGAAGACGGCGCUAUGCGUUGUAAACUGCUUUUCCAGGGGGAGAAACUUGCGCACGUGUUGCGCAAUUGACGGUACCCUGGGAAUAAGCAUCGGCUAACUCCGUGCCAGCAGCCGCGGUAAUACGGAGGAUGCGAGCGUUAUCCGGAUUCAUUGGGUUUAAAGGGUGCGUAGGCGGACUAUUAAGUCAGUGGUGAAAUCCUGCAGCUUAACUGCAGAACUGCCAUUGAUACUGAUAGCCUUGAGUUUGGUUAAGGUAGGCGGAAUGUGUAAUGUAGCGGUGAAAUGCUUAGAUAUUACACAGAACACCAAUUGCGUAGGCAGCUUACUGAGCCGACACUGACGCUGAGGCACGAAAGCGUGGGGAUCGAACAGG